UACCAUGCAGUCGAGCGGUAGCACAGAGAGCUUGCUCUCGGGUGACGAGCGGCGGACGGGUGAGUAAUGUCUGGGAACUGCCUGAUGGAGGGGGAUAACUACUGGAAACGGUAGCUAAUACCGCAUAAUGUCGCAAGACCAAAGAGGGGGGCCUUCGGGCCUCUUGCCAUCAGAUGUGCCCAGAUGGGAUUAGCUAGUAGGUGGGGUAACGGCUCACCUAGGCGACGAUCCCUAGCUGGUCUGAGAGGAUGACCAGCCACACUGGAACUGAGACACGGUCCAGACUCCUACGGGAGGCAGCAGUGGGGAAUAUUGCACAAUGGGCGCAAGCCUGAUGCAGCCAUGCCGCGUGUAUGAAGAAGGCCUUCGGGUUGUAAAGUACUUUCAGCGGGGAGGAAGGCGAUAAGGUUAAUAACCUUGUCGAUUGACGUUACCCGCAGAAGAAGCACCGGCUAACUCCGUGCCAGCAGCCGCGGUAAUACGGAGGGUGCAAGCGUUAAUCGGAAUUACUGGGCGUAAGCGCACGCAGCGGUCUGUCAAGUCGGAUGUGAAAUCCCCGGGCUCAACCUGGGAACUGCAUUCGAAACUGGCAGGCUAGAGUCUUGUAGAGGGGGGUAGAAUUCCAGGUGUACCGUGAGAUGCGUAAGAUCUGGAGAAUACCGGUGGCGAAGGGGCCCCUGGACAAA
rnacentral:rRNA from 1 species